rnacentral:ncRNA from 1 species
AUACUGAAUCAUGGUGGGGAAUAAUGUGAGAAUCAUUAGCUGUUCCUGCAACGGUAAAGUCCGAGUGCCACCCAGUAGAGACCGCUGUUGAAUGAAGGCCAGGAAAAGUCUAGUUCUGCAAUGAAAAA